rnacentral:tRNA from 1 species
GCCCCCAUCGUCUAGUGGUUCAAGGACAUCUCUCUUUCAAGGAGGCAGCGGGGAUUCGACUUCCCCU